GGUCGGAGACCGGCUGGUGCGGCUCGGGGAGCGUUCGGCGUCACCGCGCGGCGCGCCGCCCUCCAUGGCGCCGCUCCGCCGACGCAUGGUCGUCGCCCAGCAGAUACAGACCAAGCCCAGGGACCAGAUGACGGCCAGCAGCGUGCACGAGCAGUUCAUGCAGGCCUGCAUCCGUCUGAACGACCUAGGUUCCGCGAGGUGAUGAUCGUGGCCGGGCGGAUCGCGUCCAGCGCAACCAUCAACCAGACGGACGGCAGCGGACGGACACCGCUGAGUCACCUGUGUAUCCAUGGCAACGGCCGGUGUGUGGAGGAGUUCUCCCGGCUGCCUUACGUGGAUGCGAACCUGGCGGACAGGGACGGCAACACUCCCUUGCACUACGCUGCUCAGGCUGGACACGCUGCAGUCGUCACAGCGCUGCUGGAGAACUAUGUGGAGAUCGAAGUGGAUGCUAAGAACGGCCAGGGAAUUACUCCUCUCAUCAAGGCCUGUGUUCAAGGAAAAAGCAAAUGCGCCUAAACUACUUCUCGCACAUGGCGCCGACCCACUGAUCCAGGACCCAGGCCGCGGCCUCACCUGCAUCGAGUGGGCCUACUUCUGCGGGCGGCACGCGUGCGCGCGCCUGGUGGAGGCUCACCUGCUCGCCAGCGACGUCAGCGCCCCUAGUAGCGGACAGCUGAAGCGCGUCAGCAGCGAGCCCGAGCUGCCGCCAGCCGGCGGGCCGCUAGGGUGGCGGCGCGCGAAGUACCAGCGGGUGCUGGGUCAC